rnacentral:lncRNA from 13 species
AGUGUACCAAUUUAUAUCAUUUACAUGCUGUUAAUUGAAAACUUAACUUAAUUUUGGCCCAUGUUUGAUAUCGAUGGUUAUAUCUAUCAUCCAACUAACAUUCCUCAGUUUAGGUUUGUCUACAGUUCAUUUUAUGGUAAAGGGGAUAUCAAGCAGGUUCCAUAAAUCUCAAAAUAGGAUGGUUAAAGCUUUUAAAGUUGAGUUCUAUUGCCUUAUACUGUGUCCCAAACUGAGUGUGAAGAGCAGGGCGGCCAUCGUCAGCUAAUGUCCACUAACAUUAAAGGGCUGUUGGANNNNNNNNNNCAAAAAUCUCUUCCAAAUUUAAAUCCAAGCAUUUCUUUCUGCCUGUAUUGCCUCUUGUAUAUUUUUUUUCUCUUCAGUGAUGGUGGCAGUAACCAUGUGUUUUAAUUUGUCGAUUUUCAUAGCCUAUGGAACGUAUUAAAGUGACUGUUUGUCUAGAAAUGUGGACAUGUAUCCACACAUAGACACACUGCAUUUUACAGAUACUUUAAAAGUAAAGUGAAGCUAUAUAUGGAAGGAUCCAUACUAUUUCUUUGACCUACUGAAUGCACAGUCUAAAACCAUUUUUUUUCUCCCACUGCCAUGGAUAUUGUGUUCUAUAUACAGCUCUCUGUUCUCUGAUAUGUAUUGUAACACAGUGUGUUGGUUAGCAUUGGGCUGAUGAUGGAAGGGUAGGGGUUAAUGAAUGAUUGCAGCUGACUUCCAUACCUCACACAGCGUUGGUGUUGAGUGAGUGAGCGACCUCAUGAAAGAAAAAGGCAAAUUAAUAAACCCUCAAGGAUCAAACUGUCAAACUAUUCAGGGGACGCUGGGAAAUCUGGAGGAGGAAGAUCUGAAGACCACCUGUCGCUCCACCCUGAACCUGUCUCUGCGCUGCUUAAAACAAGUAACACAGCAGAGGAGACUGGUUGCAGAGGAGACUGGUUGCGGAGGAGACUGGUUUACAGAGGAGACUGGUUACAGAGGAGACUGGUUUGCAGAGGAGACUGGUUACAGAGGAGACUGGUUUGCAGAGGAGACUGGUUACAGAGGAGACUGGUUACAGAGGAGACUGGUUGCAGGGGAGACUGGUUGCAGAGGAGACUUGAUACAGGGGAGACUGGUUAGAUAA